CGCCACGGAUGGCGGUGGUUCCCGGCAGCAGCGACGUUUUUGCACAGCAAAAACUCGCCGAUGAAAAAUGUACAAGGACGUACAUUUUUCAUCAC
rnacentral:sRNA from 1 species